rnacentral:misc_RNA from 1 species
GAAAUGCGAUAAGUAAUGUGAAUUGCAGAAUUCAGGGAAUCAUCGAAUCUUUGAACGCAUCUUGCGCUCCUUGGUAUUCCUUGGAGCAUGCCUGUUUGAGUAUCAUGAAAUCUUCAAAGUAAAUCUUUUGUUAACUCAAUUGGUUUCUACUUUGGUAUUGGAGGUCUUUGCAGCUUCACACCUGCUCCUCUUUGUUCAUUAGCUGGAUCUCAGUGUUAUGCUUGGUUCCACUCGGCGUGAUAAGUUAUCUAUCGCUGAGGACACUGUAAAAGGUGGCCAAGGUAAAUGCAGAUGAACCGCUUCUAAUAGUCCAUUGACUUGGACAAUACUUUUAUGAUCUGAUCUCAAAUCAGGUAGGACUACCCGCUGAACUUAAGA